rnacentral:rRNA from 1 species
GACGAACGCUGGCGGCGUGCCUAAUACAUGCAAGUCGAACGAGAGCGACCGGUGCUUGCACUUGUCAAUCUAGUGGCGAACGUGUGAGUAACACAUGUGUAACCGGCCCAGCAGAGGCGGAUAACAUCCGGUAACGGAAGCUAAAACCGCAUAGGUCUUCGAACCGCAUGGUUUGAAGAGGAAAAGAGCCUCAAACUUCUGCUGAUGUAUGGACCAGCGGUGCAUUAGCUAUUUGGUGAGGUAACGGCUCGCCAAGGCCGUGCUGCAUAGCGGACCUGAGAGGGUGAUAGGCGACAGUGGGACUGAGACACGGGCCAAACUCCUACGGGAGGAAGGAGCAGGGAAUCUUGCGCAAUGGACGCAAGUAUGACGGAGCAACGCCGCGUGAGUGAAGAAGGUUUUCGGAUCGUAAAACUCUGUUGUUAGAGAAGAACAAGUGCUAGAGUAACUGUUAGAGCAUUGACGGUAUCUAACCAGAAAGCCACGGCUAACUCCGUG